CCUACGGGAGGCAGCAGUCGGGAAUAUUGGACAAUGGGCGCAAGCCUGAUCCAGCUACGCCAAGUGAGUGAUGAAGGCCUCCGGGUUGUAAAACUCUGUCGUAAGGGAAGAUAAUGACGGUACCUUACAAGAAAGCACCGGCUAACUCCGUGCCAGCAGCCGCGGUAAUACGGAGGGUGCAAGCGUUACUCGGAAUUACUGGGCGUAAAGGGAGCGCAGGCGGUCUAUUAAGUCAGGUGUGAAAGCCCGGGGCUCAACCCCGGAACUGCACCUGAAACUGGUAGACUUGAGGAUGAGAGAGGAAAGUAGAAUUUCUGGUGUAGAGGUGAAAUUCGUUGAUAUCAGAAGGAAUACCCGUGGCGAAGGCGGCUUUCUGGCUCAUUUCUGACGCUGAGGCUCGAAAGUGUGGGUAGCAAACAGGAUUAGAUACCCUAGUAGUC
rnacentral:rRNA from 1 species